UUUGUUUUUUAAAGUACUGUCAACUCUUGGAUUUAAACACCUUUGAUGGUUUUCAGUCCACUGAAAUUAUUAUCCUUAUCAAAGCUCACAUUGUCCCAUUUCUGGCCAGUGGAAGCCUCUCUUCAAUUUUAGCUCUUGAGUCCUGUUUAUACAACCCCAGUCAUCUUUGAUAGCUUCCUUGCUUUCUGGUAUAACAAGAUGUCCCAUCCCUGAACCCACCAUUUCUCUAAAUAGCUGAGGAGAUGAGUUUUAAUCAGGAGCUUGUCUGGUUUUACCUGCCAACCUCAUCCUUGCCCAUAAACCUUCGUUAAUUCAAUUGCUGAUCAUUUUCUGCAGUUCCAGGGCAAGCUUCUGUGGCCACCUUGAGAGGCAGGGAUACCUACUGCUCUUGUUACUGAACCGGGUUUGUUUUUGCCCACCGCCCAGAAAGCCAAACACCGAGACGACAAGAUUGCAACAGAGAGAGAGUUUACUCACAAGGCAGCCACGUGAUUCUGGAGGCUGGGAAGUCCAAGAUCAAGUGCCGGCAGAUUCCAUGUCUGGCAAAAAAAAAAAGGAAAAGAAAAAGAACACCCAUCUCCCCUCAUGAAGCAGCAGCAUUUGUAGGCACAGUGUGGUCUAAAUCCAUUCUUGGAAAAUAAAUUUACCAAAGGAAACAUUCUGCAUGCAGAGAGGGGACAGCCCUGUUGUUAACUCUGGUGCACUCCGCUUCAGCGGCCCGGGUUCGCUGGUUCAGAUCCCAGACGUGGACCUACACCACUUGUCAAGCCAGGCUGUGGUGGUGAUCCACAUAAAAAAGAGAGGAGGAUUGACACAGAUCUGUAUCUUCCUCAAGCAAAAAAUGAGGAAGAUUGACAACAGAUGUUGGCUCAGAGAGAAUCUUCCUCACCAAAGAAAAAAAAUUGCUUUCCAGAAAGAUAUAUCAAUUUAUAUUUUCACCAUCAGCAUUCUAUUAGUACAACUGAGGAGGGGCAUCUUUUUACACAGUUAAUGGCCAUUUAUUUUUCUUCUGUGAAUUGCCUUCUCCUUUCUACCUAUUUUUCUAUUGUGUUAUUUGGUUUUUCCUUAUAUUUUUGUAAAAGUUCAUGCAUCUGUUCAUUAAUUCAUUAAGCCAAUAAAUAAAUAUUUGAUUAC
rnacentral:lncRNA from 1 species